AGGCCUAGAGAACGUGCCCAGUGGUUGCUCCCCCCACCGCCGCCGCCGGGGUGAUGGAGGAGGUGGACUGCUCGGCUUACCACCACCACCCUGGCAGCCACCCCUCGGCCGCAUGGCGGCUGUGAUUUUUUUUUUUUAAAAGCACAUUGGUUUGCUGUGGCGGGCAGGUUGGGGUGGCUGCAGGAGGCCCCCAUGGCAUUUGGAGCCCCCCCCCCGACCUUGGAGGCCACGGACCGAGGCCCCAAGGUCUGGGGGUUAGAGCGCCUCUGCCACCUGCUUUGGCACUGCAUCAGUGGUGGGGCCCUUAAUCUUGGUCUAAAUUUUCAGGCAGCAGUGCAACAGAUCAGGCUGAAAAUAAUCAAACCAGGAAAAAAUGUUAGAGGUAACUGUUUCCUAAGUUAACAGAGACAUAACACAGCAUUGUUAAAAAUAAAAAUAAAAAAGAAAGAAAAGCAGAAUACAGAAGCAAGCAUAGAAUAUCAGGUAAAUGGGAAGCACACCUUUCACCCCUAGCUGAAGGAAAGUCAUGGCAGAGGACAGAACAAGGACUGUAUGGUCUUCUCACAAAUAAAAAUGCAAGGAAAAGAAAAAGAAUGCCGAAAUAGAAGACAAACAGAUCAGUUGCAACCAAGAUAAGUGCUACACACAUUCAAAAACCUUUUGAGCAGCAGAAAACAGAAGCCUCUUGAUGACAGGACAGUGGAUUCAUUUAGUGCUCCAUACAAACAGACUUGUCUUCAACCACAACAGCUUUUCACUUUUAUCUCUAUUUCAGUCCCAACCAAACAAUUGAUUCUCUUCAUCUUCAGCUGAAAUGCAAUCUUGAGGCAAAAGGUUGUCCUAAAUUUUGUAUCAAAAGAGAUUUGUCAUAAGUAUGACAGGAAAAAAUAAUAUUAUCAGGAUGAUGACUUUGCUAAAAUAGUUGCCGCUUGGUGCAAAGGUACUCAAGAAGCAAAUCCUGUUAAUGUUUCAGCUGGGAAAAGGUCAGGGAAGAACAGGGAAAUCACUGUAGCCUUCUCCCACUCUGAAUGUUUUAUUUUUUAAAUCUGAUGCAAAAUUGUGAAUAUAGUUGUGAGUAUAUAUGAAUUCAAAGCUAUGAGUGCUAUUGGCUUUUAUUCUCAAGAGACACCACUACUGGAUCUUCUUUUUUGCACUUACAUGUUGUCACAGUCACACAUAAAGCACCGACAAUCAUUUUCACACACUCUUAAGAAAAAGUAUGGUAUAGCUCAGAGUUUCUUAAGCUUGGGCUCCCAGAUGUUGUUGGACUACAAUUCCCAUCAUCUCUAGAUAUGGCCUUUGUGGCUGACAAUGAUGGGAGUUGUAGUCCAGGUUAAGAAACCCUGGUAUAGCUUACAUGUGACACAGGAGUGAAAAAGCGCUGAAUGCCAUCCAGAAAAAUAAAAUAUUGUCAUAAUUGUAUAAAUAUUGGGUGAUAUCCAGACUAGGGCCCCAGCAGCAGAAGCUCACUCAAUAAUCAGCAGGAGCUUACCCUGAUGGAGCUCCAUGCUGCAAAAGUUGUAAAUACUAUCCAAUGUAAUAUCAGGUCUAUUUCAGUUAAACCAGGGGUUCUUGAACUUGGGUCCACAGAUUGUUGGACUACAACUCCCAUCAUCUCCCUUUGGCCAUUGUGGCUGGGGAUGAUGGGAGUUGUAAUUCAAAAAUUGAUUUUAAAACACAUUGCAAAACACCAAGCAAGCUGCAGUUAAUCCUAGUCUUGCUGCUUAAAGUUUAGUUCAUUCAGGUUUUGUUUAUGGUCUGAGCAUGAAAUUCAAAUGCAGAUUGGCUGGGCCAGAAUCCUUUUUCUUUUCCUUUUCAAUAGGAAGGGAGCUUUUGACAUGGAAGAAUAUUUGAUCCUGCAAGUCACCUGCAUUCUGAAUCUAAGACAAACUGUUCUUUUUGGAAUCUGUAUGUAUUUGUCCCUGACCACAGUCAAAAUUAAAUCAGAG